AGUGAACGCUGGCGGUAGGCCUAACACAUGCAAGUCGAACGGCAGCACAGUAAGAGCUUGCUCUUACGGGUGGCGAGUGGCGGACGGGUGAGGAAUACAUCGGAAUCUACUUUUUCGUGGGGGAUAACGUAGGGAAACUUACGCUAAUACCGCAUACGACCUACGGGUGAAAGCAGGGGAUCUUCGGACCUUGCGCGAUUGAAUGAGCCGAUGUCGGAUUAGCUAGUUGGCGGGGUAAAGGCCCACCAAGGCGACGAUCCGUAGCUGGUCUGAGAGGAUGAUCAGCCACACUGGAACCGAGACACGGUCCAGACUCCUACGGGAGGCAGCAGUGGGGAAUAUUGGACAAUGGGCGCAAGCCUGGUCCAGCCAUACCGCGUGGGUGAAGAAGGCCUUCGGGUUGUAAAGCCCUUUUGUUGGGAAAGAAAAGCAGCAGGUUAAUACCCCGCUGUUCUGACGGUACCCAAAGAAUAAGCACCGGCUAACUUCGUGC
rnacentral:rRNA from 1 species